GUGGGGAAUAUUGGACAAUGGGCGCAAGUCUGAUCCAGCCAUGCCGCGUGAGUGAUGAAGGCCUUAGGGUUGUAAAGCUCUUUUGUCCGGGAAGAUAAUGACUGUACCGGAAGAAUAAGCCCCGGCUAACUUCGUGCCAGCAGCCGCGGUAAUACGAAGGGGGCUAGCGUUGUUCGGAAUCACUGGGCGUAAAGCGCACGUAGGCGGACCAUUAAGUCAGGGGUGAAAGCCUGGAGCUCAACUCCAGAACUGCCUUUGAUACUGAUGGUCUAGAGUAUGGAAGAGGUUGGUGGAACUGCGAGUGUAGAGGUGAAAUUCGUAGAUAUUCGCAAGAACACCGGUGGCGAAGGCGGCCAACUGGUCCAUUACUGACGCUGAGGUGCGAAAGCGUGGGGAGCAAACAGGAUUAGAAACCCCGGUAGUCC
rnacentral:rRNA from 1 species